GCAAUCAGUGCGCCCACGAGCACUCUUGGUACAGUCAGGAACAGCGCACCGCUUCCCCCCUCCGUGGGCCACACAGUAGUCCGUCCCACCAUGGACACUCUUCGGGCACAACCCACCCCCUUCAAAAAGACACCGCCUCCCUCCACCAUGUCCUUUGCACAGAGGCGUACUUCCCUCAGCUCCUUUCGUGCACCCCUCAAAUAUGCAGCGCUUACCACCACCAUGGGCCUUACAGUGCAUGGUGC
rnacentral:misc_RNA from 1 species